rnacentral:rRNA from 1 species
UACGUAGGUGGCAAGCGUUGUCCGGAUUUAUUGGGUUUAAAGGGUGCGUAGGCGGCCCUGUAAGUCAGUGCUGAAAUAUCCCAGCUUAACUGGGAGGGUGGCAUUGAUACUGCGGGGCUAGAGUACAGAUGAGGUAGGCGGAAUUGACGGUGUAGCGGUGAAAUGCUUAGAUAUCGUCAAGAACACCAAUAGCGAAGGCAGCUUACUAGGCUGUAACUGACGCUGAGGCACGAAAGUGUGGGGAUCAAACAGG